GACGAACGCUGGCGGCGUGCUUAACACAUGCAAGUCGAACGGAAAGGCCCUGCUUUUGUGGGUUGCUCGAUUGGCGAACGGGUGAGUAACACGUGAGUAACCUGCCCUUGACUUUGGGAUAACUUCAGGAAACUGGGGCUAAUACCGGUUAGGAGCUCCUGCUGCAUGUUGGGGGUUGGUAAGUUUCGGCGGUUGUGGAUGGACUCGCGGCUUAUCAGCUUGUUGGUGGGGUAGUGGCUUACCAAGGCUUUGACGGGUAGCCGGCCUGAGAGGGUGAACGGCCACAUUGGGACUGAGAGACGGACCAGACUCCUACGGGAGGCAGCAGGGGGGAAUAUUGCACAAUGGGCGGAAGCCUGAUGCAGCAACGCCGCGUGCGGGAUGACGGCCUUCGGGUUGUAAACCGAUGUCGACUGUGACGAAGAGUGAGUGACGGUAAUGGGUAAAGAAGCACCGGCUAACUACGUG
rnacentral:rRNA from 1 species